CCUCCCCACCCCAUCCUUCCCAUUACCCAAGGCAUUAUGUCUUUGGCAUCAUUAUCUUCGUCACAAAAUCCUACUGGAUACAAGGAGAA